rnacentral:ncRNA from 2 species
AGAAAAUUUGAGAUUACAGGUGCCUCAUUUAAGAGGAGAAUAAGGGAAGUCGGUGAAAGUCCGGCGCGGUCCCGCCACUGUAAACGGGGAGUAAGAAGUGUAACCACGGGGUAGUCCCGGAAGGUACUUCAGAUGUGAUGAUCCGUAAGCCAGGAGACCUGCCUGUAGUCAAGCUAAAAG